rnacentral:rRNA from 1 species
UGGGGAAUAUUGGACAAUGGGCGCAAGCCUGAUCCAGCCAUGCCGCGUGUGUGAAGAAGGCCUUUUGGUUGUAAAGCACUUUAAGCGAGGAGGAGGCUACUUGGAUUAAUACUCUAAGAUAGUGGACGUUACUCGCAGAAUAAGCACCGGCUAACUCUGUGCCAGCAGCCGCGGUAAUACAGAGGGUGCGAGCGUUAAUCGGAUUUACUGGGCGUAAAGCGUGCGUAGGCGGCUUCUUAAGUCGGAUGUGAAAUCCCUGAGCUUAACUUAGGAAUUGCAGUCGAUACUGGGAAGCUAGAGUAUGGGAGAGGAUAGUAGAAUUCCAUGUGUAGCGGUGAAAUGCGUAGAGAUCUGGAGGAAUACCGAUUGCGAAGGCAGCCAUCUGGCCUAAUACUGACGCUGAGGUACGAAAGCAUGGGGAGCAAACAGG